UACUAAUGUGGACAACAAAGUGAGCUGC
rnacentral:sRNA from 1 species